ACAGACUCCUACGGGAGGCAGCGGUGGGGAAUAUUGCACAAUGGGGGAAACCCUGAUGCAGCGACGCCGCGUGAGUGAAGAAGUAAUUCGUUAUGUAAAGCUCUAUCAGCAGGGAAGAAAAUGACGGUACCUGAGUAAGAAGCCCCGGCUAACUACGUGCCAGCAGCCGCGGUAAUACGUAGGGGGCAAGCGUUAUCCGGAUUUACUGGGUGUAAAGGGAGCGUAGACGGCAGUGCAAGUCUGGAGUGAAAGGCGGGGGCUCAACCCCUGGGACUGCUCUGGAAACUGUAAAGCUGGAGUGCGGGAGGGGCAGGCGGAAUUCCUGGUGUAGCGGUGAAAUGCGUAGAUAUCAGGAGGAACACCGGCGGCGAAGGCGGCCUGCUGGACCGUAACUGACGUUGAGGCUCGAAAGCGUGGGGAGCAAACAGGAUUAGAUACCCCCGUA
rnacentral:rRNA from 1 species